UACAGAGGUCUCAAGCGUUGUUCGGAUUCAUUGGGCGUAAAGGGUGCGUAGGCGGCGCGGUAAGUCGGGUGUGAAAGCCCCGGGCUUAACUUGGGAAUUGCGCUCGAAACUACUUUGCUGGAGUGUGGCAGAGGAAGGUGGAAUUCCACGUGUAGCGGUGAAAUGCGUAGAGAUGUGGAGGAACACCAAUGGCGAAGGCAGCCUUCUGGGCCAACACUGACGCUCAUGCACGAAAGCGUGGGGAGCAAACAGG
rnacentral:rRNA from 1 species